rnacentral:rRNA from 1 species
CGUGCGCCUAAGGGCGCCCGGCGGAGGUUAAAUAAUAAACCCCGUGUUUUACUACGUAACCCGUCUGAAUGAAUAGGAACGAUGAAAUGUUAAAACUUUCAGCAACGGAUCUCUUGGUUCUCGCAUCGAUGAAGAACGCAGCGAAAUGCGAUAAGUAGUGUGAAUUGCAGAAUCUAGUGAAUCAUCGAAUCUUUGAACGCACAUUGCGCCUUCUGGUAUUCCGGGAGGCAUGCCUGUUCGAGAGUCAUUGACAACCGCUUYGAAGCCCCCCUUUCUCCACGUUCUCGAGGGGUCGGGGGGGGAUUCGUUUGUUGGUGGCGGAGGGAUGAGUUGCCUUGGCCUGCCCGCUAUGCCUGGCAAAUCUCCUCCCCACUGAAAUUCGGCGAUGGGCUUUCAUUUUAUAGGUGGUGGGAUUGAAGGCGAUAUAAAUGCUCCCCGGCCCCCCGGGUAGAUUGUGCCAAUCCCCUCAACUUCCGAGGUUCGGAGGCGGUCCUGUGUUAAUCGACCCACAUCAGGAUGGAUGACGUCUUCGUUUACGGCGAUGUGCGGAGGGUCUCCCCCAUCCUGGAGCCCCCAUGUACCCGUAACGAUUGGGUUAGCCGACAUGUUGMUUAUAGCUAUACUUCUGGCUUGUAGCAAUUCGGGACCACAGGACACUGGCCAGAGCUGAUCAGGAAGAACC